UACGGAGGAUGCAAGCGUUAUCCGGAAUGAUUGGGCGUAAAGCGUCCGCAGGUGGCUGUGUAAGUCUGCUGUCAAAGAGCGAAGCUCAACUUCGUAAAGGCAGUGGAAACUACACGGCUAGAGUGCGUUCGGGGCAGAGGGAAUUCCUGGUGUAGCGGUGAAAUGCGUAGAGAUCAGGAAGAACACCGGUGGCGAAGGCGCUCUGCUGGGCCGCAACUGACACUGAGGGACGAAAGCGAGGGGAGCGAAUGGG
rnacentral:rRNA from 1 species